AUUGAACGCUGGCGGCAGGCCUAACACAUGCAAGUCGAACGGUAACAGGAAGCAGCUUGCUGCUUCGCUGACGAGUGGCGGACGGGUGAGUAAUGUCUGGGAAACUGCCUGAUGGAGGGGGAUAACUACUGGAAACGGUAGCUACUACCGCAUAACGUCGCAAGACCAAAGAGGGGGACCUUAGGGCCUCUUGCCAUCGGAUGUGCCCAGAUGGGAUUAGCUAGUAGGUGGGGUAACGGCUCACCUAGGCGACGAUCCCUAGCUGGUCUGAGAGGAUGACCAGCCACACUGGAACUGAGACACGGUCCAGACUCCUACGGGAGGCAGCAGUGGGGAAUAUUGGACAAUGGGCGCAAGCCUGAUGCAGCCAUGCCGCGUGUAUGAAGAAGGCCUUCGGGUUGUAAAGUACUUUCAGCGGGGAGGAAGGGAGUAAAGUUAAUACCUUUGCUCAUUGACGUUACCCGCAGAAGAAGCACCGGCUAACUCCGUG
rnacentral:rRNA from 1 species